rnacentral:rRNA from 1 species
UCCAGACUCCUACGGGAGGCAGCAGUGAGGAAUAUUGGUCAAUGGACGAGAGUCUGAACCAGCCAAGUAGCGUGAAGGAUGACUGCCCUAUGGGUUGUAAACUUCUUUUAUAAAGGAAUAAAACGAGGCACGUGUGCCUUUUUGCAUGUACUUUAUGAAUAAGGAUCGGCUAACUCCGUGCCAGCAGCCGCGGUAAUACGGAGGAUCCGAGCGUUAUCCGGAUUUAUUGGGUUUAAAGGGAGCGUAGAUGGGUUGUUAAGUCAGUUGUGAAAGUUUGCGGCUCAACCGUAAAAUUGCAAUUGAUACUGGCAGUCUUGAGUACAGUUGAGGUAAGCGGAAUUCGUGGUGUAGCGGUGAAAUGCUUAGAGAUCGGGAGGAACACCAGUGGCGAAGGCGGCCUACUGGGCUUUAACUGACGCUGAGGCACGAAAGCGUGGGUAGCAAACAGGAUUAGAUACCCUAGUAU